rnacentral:lncRNA from 1 species
AUUUAGCAAAUUUUCUUCCAUUUUUUUAUAUGCUACCUUAACAACCUUCAUUAAAUAGUAAGUAGUGAUUUAAGGAAAUCAUGAGAAGUAACUCGAGCAAGUUAAGGUAUGUAGAGGUACUUGACAAAAACCCAAAUUCUUAUCCCCGCAAGCAACGCACGCAAAUUUCCUACAUUUACAUCUCAAGAAUUCCUUGAAUCACUACUAACAUCUAUACACACACACGCCUCCAUCCUGCUGCAAUCUUCCCGCCGUUGAACCGCCAUCAACCUCCAACAACGACUCUCCUUCAGUCGCCACCAAUCUCCAUACUCCAGUUUCCCGCUCUCUGGUCAAAAUCAUUGGUUAGCACUGUUAAUUCGUCACUUCGCUUUGUUUCAUUUAAUAUCUCCUUUAUUUUUACCCAUUUUGAUUAUCUGUUAGGGUUUCGUUUGAUUUGAAACGAUGCCAUCAAUGAUAGCGCGGAAGUUGAUAGUAUUUGAGACCUUUUUAUGUUUACACAAGUUUUUUUUUGCCCCUUGCUGUUUGGUUAACCUAUGCUUCUCUCACACCUUCAAAUCAUAAAUUGUUUCUGUGCUUGAAAAUUGGGAUUAUCAGUUCAUAGUUUGUAUUGUAUGAUCUAUGUCUUAGUUUCUAUUUAUUGAAAUUCUCAAAUAUUCGUUAUAUUAUUUACUAUUUCCACCAUGAUUUAGAGAUUGGGAAUGAUGAAGGUAUCUUGUAUGAUAUCUUUAUGGAGAAUGAUUGUUUACUCAUCCUGUGACUGCUUCUAUUCUAGCAUGGACUUUACCUUCUAGGCCUUUACUUGACCGUGAUAUUAACUUGGUUAAUUUACUUACAUCGGUGUCUAGUUUCUUGUAAUUCCGUUGUUAAACCUGCUGCUCGACCAGAAGAAAUGUAGUUGGUUGAGUAGUUAAGUGACUAAAUCUUGGGUUUGCUGAUUGAGAAGUUAAAUAAGGUAAUCUUGAAUUAAGUUUUACUUGGGAGGAUCUCUUGCAGUAUAUAUAUUCUUAACCGUGCCGAUCUUUUCUACCUGUUGAUCUAACAAAAUGGCCUCUUGAACUUGAAAUAUUACUCCUCCAGUGCUCUUCAUUCCCUUUCUUCUUUAUAUAUCAUUUUCUGCAUUUGAGUUUGAAACAGUGCUUCUAUUGUGUUUCUGUCUUUUGCAUAUGCAUUUUGGUAUAAUAAUACCUAGCAUUCUAUUUCAUUUUUUUUUGGCUUGAAAUAUGAGAGGAUAGUUACUUUUUGUUGCUUUAUCUUUUGUAGCUUUUGCUUUCUAAUGAAUUUUGAUUUUGAUUUUAUUUUCCUCCAGAAUUUAAGCGUAAGAGUGCAGGCUUGGAAGUUGCAACAAUAAUAAAGGCUCGUUAAUGUUUCAGGUAUGAGAAUCAAGACUUUUAUUAAGUUUGCAAAAAUGAAAUUUGGUCGAUAAAAUUUGUUUUUUGAAUAUAUGAGUGAUACACUUUUAUAGGGUUUUGAAAUAAGAUUACUCUUAAUUCCGAGACAGCAAUACAAUGAAUAGUGACAAAAAGUUCCAACUUUGUUCAAAAUCCUUUCUCAAUAUCAUAUAAAGUGCCAAUAGUACACUUGCCACUGUGACUAUUUUACAUUGUGACCUACAUUUUUCUAUUUUACAUUUGGAUUAAGAAUGGCACACAUUGUGUUUGCACUAUAAAUCAUUUUACAAAUAUAACCCCACCUCUAUUCCUUAUUUUACUUUUGCACAUAUUCAAAAUUCCACUUAAGGAAUCAUUAAUCAUUAAUAAGAAUAUUUGUAAAGCUUGUUUGUAUCUGUGUCAAAUUUGUUUGACACUUAAUGUUUAAUUUGGUCCAUAGUUUGAACCAAAAUAGAAUGUUUUAGAUCACCGAUGUGAAGUUCAUGUUCACCCAUUGGGAUUCUUCGAAUCCCAAACUCAUCGACAACAGAGAGGUGGUUACAAACAUGAACACCAACCUUAACACGUGUCUUUGAUCCAGCAGGAACAUAAGUCUUAUGAAAGUUCACCAAUUGUUUAACUCCAUUAGGUGGUUUUGAGAAUAUUAGAAGUGUGUGGGCUCCAUCCAUUGACCCUUCAUUUUUCACAUCCACAUGGAAACCUACUUCCAAUUCAUCACAUUUUGCAUGACUCACUUUUAUUGCUUUGUUAGUUGAGUUUGCGAAGGCUUGGGCCUGGAGGGAUACAUAAGGGACUGAGACUUGUUUGGGAGCAAGUGCUAAGGUAUGAGUGUAUCUUGAGUAACUUAGCCCAUGCCCAAAUGGGAACACUACUGGGCCCUUGUAGAAUCUAUAGGUUCUUCCUGGGUACCCUAUUGCCGGGUUUGGACGCAUGUCCAUGUUUGUCAUUGGCACUUUGCUCACAUAAUUUUGUGGGUACCAUGUAUUGGGUAACCUUCCUCCUGCAAUAAAAGCCCGAACAAAAAAGAGUCAAAUUAGAUGUAACAAAAGUGUUUGUUCUUCAUAAUUUCAUUCUAGUUGCUGCAAAAACAUAACAGGUGUUCAUUCUAAUAUUAUUCUUCAAUUAGAUUUUCUUACCUGGGUUGGUUCUGCCAAAGAUAACAUCAGCAAUAGCAGUUCCUCCAGAUUGACCAGGAUAACCAACCCACAGAAUAGCACUAAUUUUGGGAUCAUUUUUAGCAAAUGUAACAUCAAUAGGCCCACCAGACAUGAGAACCAAUAUAACUGGGCCUCUUGCAGCCCUAGCUACUCUAGACACUAGCUCUUGUUGAUGGCCUGGUAAAAGAAGCCCAACCCUAUCUCUAAAUUCAGCUUCUAUGGACUGGUCUAAGCCCAUUACUAAUACUGUUGCAUCACCUUGUCUUGCUACUGUCUCUGCCAGCCCAAAUAGCUGGUUCCCACCACAACUCACAUCUCUACAUCCUACCUGAUGAAUGGUCCUCGCGUAUCUGGCAAUACCUUGCAACGGUGUUGUAUAGCCACAUGCCACACCUAUCAAAAUAAAAAUUCAAUGAAUUAAAAAUAUGAUACAUUUGAUAUAUAACAAUGUUUUAAAAACUUGACAAGAAGUAACUAACCAGCAUAGUUUCCAAUCAUUGUAACAGUAACAUCAGAAUUGGGACCAAUGACUCCUAUGGUGCGGAAGCGUGUUGGGGAUAAUGGCAAUGCAUUUCCUUUGUUUUGCAGAAGAACAAUGCCCUGUCUAGCUGCUUCAACUGCAAGUUCAUUAUGGGCAGGUAAACAAACAUCUCUUGGGCCUAAAUUCCCAUAUGGUUGGGCCGAAGGCUCUCCGUCAAACAUACCCAAUCUCAUUUGAACUGUAAUAAGGUUAGCUAAAGCAUUGUUAAGAUCAUUUUCAGACAUAAGUCCUUGCCUAAUAGCACCAUCAGUAUGUAGGGCUAAAAAUGGGCCACAAUCUAAAUCCAAGCCUGCUUUAAUCGCAUCGGCUGCAGCCUCUUCCGGUGUUUUUGUGUAGUGUUGGGUGUCGUAGUAAACUCCGACCGA